rnacentral:rRNA from 1 species
AUUGAACGCUGGCAGCAGGCCUAACACAUGCAAGUAGAACGAGUGGCGGACGGGUGAGUAAUGUCUGGGAAACUGCCUGAUGGAGGGGGAUAACUACUGGAAAAGGUAGCUAAAACCGCAUACAAACAGAUUUGCCCAGAUGGGCUUAGCUAGUAGGGGGGGUAAAGGCUCACCUAGGCGACGAUCCCUAGCUGGGCUGAGAGGAUGACCAGCCACCCUGGAACGUAGUCACGGUCCAGACUCCUACGGUAGGCAGCAGUGGGGAAUAUUGCACAAUGGGCGCAAGCCUGAUGCAGCCAUGCCGCGUGUAUGAAGAAGGCCUUCGUGUUGUAAAGUACUUUCAGCGGGGAGGCGUUACCCGCAGAAGAAGCACCGGCUAACUCCGUGCCAGCAGCCGCGGUAAUUC